CUGACGUUUUGAUCUUCCCUCCUUCCCAGUGUAAUCUGAUUCCAUGAAUCCAAAGGAUUAGGCGUUAUCUAUGCCACACUAAGUUGUCAUGAAUUUUUCUCCACCUAUGCGUAUUUAUUGAUUUCCAUUUUUCCGUAUUUUUUCUUCCGUAAUUGCGCUGAAACCCAAAGCUAGCAGAAAUUUCUACCGAAACCUUAAGAAUCAUUAAACGUUUCACCUUUCUAUCCCUUAUUUAAAUUGAAAGUUAAAUCAAAAUGCUCAUGCAUUUAAUGGCCUCUUCGGAUUUCCCUAUAAAAUCUCUGAGCCGAAUCAAAACACCAUCAGUUCCACCAGUCGCACAGGUGACAUGCAAAUAACAUAAGGUAGCAUCAUCAGCUAGGCAGAACAUCUUCAAGAGAUCAUGUGCCCUUACUGUUCAAGUGACCUCGAAACUGUAUACUUUCCCUAACCCGCAUUGCUUAUGUAGUUGGCCAUUUGCUCAACUUUUUUGAAGAUUUAUCAAGUGAAAUUCACCCUCUCCUCCACAAAUGUUUUCAAAGUGUACCCCAACAUCGACAUCCCAACUGUUGUACAAAUGCGAGAAAGGUUAGUAUUUGCUUAUUUACUAUCCAGCAUAAAGGAUUUCGUAUAUCAUUUUUUUAGACCGUAGCUUUUGUACCCCUAUAUAUCGAUUACUGUUUAGAUAUCCUUUUGUCUCUGUUCUUUGUAUAACUCAUUCAGAUUACAUGCAUAUUUAUUGGUAAAAUGUUUAUUAAUAAAAUGUUAAAUUUGUAUAGUUAUAUUUUUGUGUACACGGUGUAAUGAGUGAGAACUUGGAUUUAAUAUUUACAGUCUUCAUGUCUGUAAGAGCCUCUUAACUUGGAUGAAUUUUUUUUUCAAUUUAUUUGUCUAUCUGCUACAUCUGUAUGAUAAUUACAAAGAGUAUGUGGACUUCAUGGAUCUCCUACAAGCUUAAGCCGCCAAAAAGAAAUUAACUAGGCUGUACAAGAUGGAAGUAAUAUUCAAUCCUCUUCUCCGUUUUCCUCCUAAAGUGAAAAUCUAUUUGCAGAUCAUUGGAGCGCGAAAUACAGAGAAUGGUAGCCAGCAUAACUACUCAUCAGAUAAAGUAGUUUGAUUUUCUUAUAUAUGAUUUUAAACUUGGUGGAAAUGCUUAUUAGAAGUCUUGCUUAGUAGCAGUCUUUGUUUGAAUCAGAUUGAGCUCACAAUCUAAACAGUGGCAUAACAAAGGACUUUGAGGUUUUUGUUUGAAUCAGACAUUCUUAACUGCUUAGAAAAUCUUCAUGCAUGUGUGUAAUGUUUUC